UUUUACCCAAUAUUUCAAGGGAUUUUCCUGCAGGACCAGGAUCAAGUGUGAUGUGACAGUUUUUCCAUGCUGUGAACUUGCCCAUGGGAUGUGGUGUCACCCAGCAGGCCCUGUACAGCUCCCACAGCUGUGGCUGCGCAGCUGGAACUGGGAUUAAAGGCAUCCAGAGUGGCCAGUGCUGGUUACUUUAGGAGAAGAUAUGAGAAACACUGUGAUAAUUGUUUUCACAGGAAAUCUGUCUUUCUGCCACUUAUACUUUUCUUCUGCCAUAGUGCUGCAAGCAGCUGUGUGAAGACACCCAGACAGCAGCAUGUUUGCCAGCUUGGCUGUGACAGCACCCUGGGUCCCUUCUCAGCAGUCAGCAUGCAGGGAUGGUGCAGAUAUGUCCCUUGAGAACUCUUCUUUUGGGUGGAGAACAGAGAAGCAUACCCCCAGGAAGUGAUGGCAAUAAUGAAACUUGUUUAAAGAUAAUAACUCACCAUGAUGACAAGACAACCCUUAAGCCUCAUUUAACAUCUGACUUUAUUGGCCCACUACCUUCACCAUUUACUAUACAGCAAAAAACUUGGAAGACAGCCCAAAAGGAAAAGUCACAGUUGUAUUCCUGAGCUGAGUGGUUUGAUAUUCACCAGCCAGUGAAAUGAAACUGAAGAAAAUUGGUUAUUAGAAGACCACUUCUGCUGCACACCAAAAUCUCCUGUGGAAGAUCUUCGGAGUGAGGAGCAGAGGGGGAAGCAAGACUUUUGAGAAAGCACUUCUGCCCACAAACUGCUUUUUCUCUGAGUGGAGAGCACUCCCUGGUGUGGCUGCACCACUGUUCUGCUUGAAAUCACACAGGAGGGCACCAGCCAGGGACAUCCAGACUUCCUCUGACACUCUGCUGUGCCUACACAGCAGUGAAAAAGUCCACGUGGAGAUGCCUAAGCUGGCUCUGAGGAAAAGAGCAGGACUCUGUAGAACAGCACGCUUUCACUCAGGGCAGCAGUGCAGCCAUCCCUGCCAUCUCUGGGUAAUUCAUCACUGUGGGCCCCUGUGCUUUUAUUCCUGCUGGGUUUCUCUGGCUGGUGUACAUGCUGGACACCUGCGGCCUGAAGACAAUUCCACCCUCUCAGGGCUUCAGAGGAGCCUGGGGCUGUAGGGAUUUUGGUUAGGAGGUGGGGUUCUUCGUGCUGGUGGGAUGGGACAAGCAGAUCAGCCUUGCUUUCACCCUUUUGCCUUUCCAGAAAGCCAACCAAUGAGUGCAGUGUUAUGGCCUUGUGGUUUUUACAACACAUAAGAUAUGUACAAGACAAAGAAACCUGUGAACUGCUGGCUGCCAUGAAAAAAUGAUGCACUUUAGGCAACAAUACAGUUAAAUUUACUUUUUACUGGUUUGUGAAGGGGCUAUACUUAGUGUUUUCCUUGUGGAAGAUGUCAAUCCCUGUUAACUUUCCUGAUGACGUUCCUCAGCUCUGAAUGCUCUGCCCUGGAUCCUGCAGGAGAGUUUCCCACUGCUAACAUCUCAAUUCCAGUUUAGUGCUGUUGGUGGUGCUUGCUUUUCCUCGGUGGUCUCCCUCAGGCAGCUGGA
ensembl:lncRNA